rnacentral:lncRNA from 1 species
AGUUGCCUUAUGGAGUCGGUACCUCUUGGCCAUGGAGAGACAUGGAGUUGAUCAUCAAGUAAUUUCUGUAACCUUCGAGAAAGCUUUGAAUGCCGGCUUCAUCCAGGCCACUGAUUAUGUGGAGAUUUGGCAGGCAUACCUUGAUUACCUGAGGAGAAGGGUUGAUUUCAAACAAGGUAUUUAAGCACAUGUUUUUCACUUUAGAGCUGAACAUGUUCUUAAUACAACUUUUGGCGAGAUGUCCCAGUUCCCCAGAUACAUUGUGAUUGGGCAAAUGAUGUAGACUAGGUAUUGGUGACUUUUUCCCCCAGAAAUCUUAGCAAUUUCUGUCUUUAACAAGUCAUGAUGUGGAUUGUAAAGCAAGAGAGUAAUCGUUUAUACUGGCUCCUGCCAGCCUUUUUAGUCUUAGCUCUCAUUUCUCCUUUCAGGUCUUUUUAUUUAUCCUAAAUACUUCUUGAAAUAAGUCUGCUGUGUUUUAGAAAAAUCUUUGUACCUCUGUGGGAUCCUUUGCCCCUUCAUGUCCCCCCGAAAACAACCAGAAAACCCCUAACUUGUACU